GAUGAACGCUAGCUACAGGCUUAACACAUGCAAGUCGAGGGGAAACGAUAUUGGAAGCUUGCUUCCGAUAGGCGUCGACCGGCGCACGGGUGAGUAACGCGUAUCCAACCUGCCCACCACUUGGGGAUAACCCUGCGAAAGUAAGACUAAUACCCAAUGACGUCUCUAGAAGACAUCUGAAAGAGAUUAAAGAUUUAUCGGUGAUGGAUGGGGAUGCGUCUGAUUAGCUUGUUGGCGGGGUAACGGCCCACCAAGGCGACGAUCAGUAGGGGUUCUGAGAGGAAGGUCCCCCACAUUGGAACUGAGACGCGGUCCAAACUCCUACGGGAGGCAGCAGUGAGGAAUAUUGGUCAAUGGGCGAGAGCCUGAACCAGCCAAGUAGCGUGCAGGAUGACGGCCCUAUGGGUUGUAAACUGCUUUUAUAAGGGAAUAAAGUGAGUCUCGUGAGACUUUUUGCAUGUACCUUAUGAAUAAGGACCGGCUAAUUCCGUGCCAGCCGCCGCGGUAA
rnacentral:rRNA from 1 species